AACGUAGGAGACAAACGUUAUCCGGAGUUACUGGGCGUAAAGGGCGUGUAGGUGGUUUCGUAAGUCUGGCGUGAAAUUUUUCGGCUUAACCGGGAAAGGUCGUCGGAUACUGCGGGACUAGAGGACGGUAGAGGCGUGUGGAAUUCCGGGUGUAGCAGUGAAAUGCGUAGAUAUGCGGAGGAACACCGAUGGCGAAGGCAAUCCCCUGGGCCUGCACUGACGCUCAUGCACGAAAGCGUGGGGGAGCAAACAGG
rnacentral:rRNA from 1 species